CUGGACCAGCUACUGGCAAAAAGUUUGUGUGGGAGAGAUGCCAUGUCCAUGUUUUCCACUAGCAGGCGUUCUUGCUGUUUACAGACACAUAAGUUCCUUAUGGCACAAAAUUUUGUGUUUGCGUGAAUUCUUUUUCCCUAGCAACCAGAGAUCAGUGGCUUCAGGGAUUCACAAUGCAGUCCUAUCCUCUGGCUCUGUCUCAACGACAGGCUGCUGCUUGCAAAUUUUGGGUUGCUACAUGAUUUUUCCUUUAGCCUUAUCUUCCCUGCUUUUCUUUGAUGCCAAUCUGGGUCCAGGGAAACCCCUGCUGCCAGGCCGUGCACCACCUAUCCCUGUCAAUCCAGAGAAGUUCCGGGUCUGUCUUCCUAGGGUGGGCCACCUGCUUUGAUCUGCUGCCUUUGUCUGAGGCCACUAGUUGGAAUUUGUAACGAUGUUCCAUUUAAAUAGGAAAAGUUGUUCAUUGUGUUUGGGGUGACUAUAAAGUCUGACUCACUUUGAAAUCAGUAGCAAAGGCAACAGCAAUUCUAAAACGCAAAGUGCCAAGAAGUGGGAAGCUGUGGUGCCCGAGGCAGCCGGCAUGACUCAGUAUCUCACUCUCAGAUAAAACAUCUUCCCAGCUGGAAUAUGGAGGGGAAUAAUAAGUAAGACUGGGCUUGGAAAGUGUCUGGCAUGUAGAAACUGUUCAAAAAGUUCUAGUUCUCUCUACCAGCAUCCUGACACUAUUUUUAAAAAGGUGGAAAAUCACACAUGUAAAAAUAUACUAUUUGGGUAAGAAAAAUCUUUUUGUUUUUUUUUAAGAUUUUACUUAUUUAUUUGACAGAGAGAGACACAGCGAGAAAGGGAACACAAGCAGGGGGAGUGGGAGAGGGAGAAGCAGGCUUCCCGCGGAACAGGGAGCCCGAUGCGGGGCUCGGUCCCAGGACCCUGGGACUGAGCUGAAGACAGAUGCUUAACGACUGAGCCACCCAGGCGCCCCAAGAAAAAUCUAAUCAUUUGAUGAGUAUCAACAGGCUUCUGCUCUAGUUCCUCCUACUGGGCAUCCUUGAAGCCCAUCCCUAAGCAGCAUCAAGAAAAGAAGAUUCAAAAUCAGAAGCCAUUUCGCAUUCUUCCAACUUACUGUAACGACUGGUAUCUAUCAUUCUGUAUGUCAUCAUUAUACUAAAAGAUUGUCUAGUAUUUUUUUCUGAUUUCCCCUCUAUGGCAGGCAGGUUGUGAGGAGAAGGGGAAGCAAGGGAUGAGGAGGGGUCUCAGCUAAGUAAGGUCAGUCUUACAGUGCAGAACUGGCAGGCAGAUCUCUUACGUGGAGCUUUGCAAGGCUGGGGCUCAAGAGCGGAGAAAAAUCCAAGUCAGCCAAGAGGCUCCAAAUGUGUCUGUUAACAAAUGCACCAACCUGGGGUGUGUAUAGGGAAACAUUUUCAACUAAGAGAUCACAGAAUAAGAAGUUGGAGACAAAUGGCAAACAAGUCAAGCAAGAGUGGUCUAGGGCAGAGGUCUAGAUCUUCAUCAUGAUGACAUAGUGGGCCUGGAACUGGUAAAGGGACAGGGACAGAGCGGAGAGUCUUAUAUUUGGUUUAUUCAUUUGCCUUACCUUUCUGCCCUCCCUAAAUGGGAAACCUGAGGGGUAAACCUGUUGUCACCAGCUGGACCCCCCCUUAUAAUAUCCAGCCAAAUACCUCAUAAAGAGUAGGUGACCCAGAGUUAUUUACUAAUUUAAAAGAUAAUUAUCACUUUGGAUAAAUACAGGGAGGAUGUGAUUAUAAAAUAACACCGAUCUACAAGAUAAACAUAAAAUAUCAGUGCCAUCCAAGGAGACAAAAGUGCAAUUUUGCUAGUGAAUGCAAUUCCAAAGUAAAUGCAUGAUACAUGUUUUUAGAGUAGUUUUUCAUAGAAUAACCACACCUUGAAUUUAAUGCAUUUUAAUCUGGGGGGACAAUGAUACAUUUCACCAAUGGCUUCUGUAAUUUCAGACCUGGGAUUUGCUGGAUGAGUUGCAAAUGUAUGAAAAAUGGUUUGGGAAAACAAUUUUUAUUCAUUAAGUUGUUUGUUUUGAUAGAUAAAAAAGCACAUAUCUUUCUAAAGUGAUGUUUAUUUCAUGUUUUGAGUGGCAGAAAAAAUAAUUGCAUGUUUGAAAUCUUUGAAAUAUGUUUUAAUGCUUUUAAAAUGACUUAAGAGCAAAUGUGCCAAAUUUACCCACUUCUUAAGCCAUUCUGUGGUUGAAAGUUAGCUUCGCUUUCUAAGCUUUAUGGAAUUAUUCAAUAUGUUCUUUGAUUAUAUCUUUUAAACUGCAGUCAGUGUCUGUACCUGGUGGUAUGAUUAGAACAUUUGACACACCUGUAGCAAGAUUUUGCCAAGAAGAGAUAUUACAGAUAUUGUGUAAAUGCUUGAUUGAAGCUCUAAAAAUGGAUAUGAGUAUUUUUGAAUAUAAUAGAACUAUACAAACAUGGUCUUAUAAUAGGAUUUCAUUGGUAGAUUCAACAUGUAUAUGCCUGGUAUAUAUACUGGGAAUUAGUUUUUAGUAAAGACUAACUGCCUUUCUAAUUUGAAAUGUUUUUAUUUUAAUGAGACAUGGUAUUUAAAAGGAUUGGAUAAGGCUAUAAAAUUCAGACCCAAGUUCGGUCUACAGAACUUCCUGAGUGCCUAUUAAACGUGUAUUUUAAGUUACUGGGGAUUAUAGCAUUCUCUGAACACAUAUUUGCUGGUACUAACUGGUAAUUGAUACUUUAUUGUACACUAAGUAUAUGGUAGCCACUGUUCUAAGUGCUUAUAUAUAUUAACUGUUUAAUCCUCACAACAUGCCCUAUGAGACGGGUAUGAUUAGUAUCAAUUUACAGAUGAGUUGAUGGAGGCAUAGAGAAAGAAGUGAUUUGGGACGCCUGGGUGGCUCAGUCGGUUGGGCGUCUGCCUUCGGCUCAGGUCAUGAUCCCAGGGUCCUGGGAUCGAGCCCCACAUCUGGCUCCCUGCUCAGUGGGGAGCUUGCUUCUCCCUCUGCCUGCCACUACCCCCUGCUUGUGUUCUCUCUCCCUCUCUCUCUGGCAAGUGAAUAAAUAAAAUCUUAAAAAAAGGAGAAAAGAAAGGAAGUGAUUUGUUUUAAAGUCACACAGAUAGCCUGGAUUUGAGGCCAGUUACUCUUGGUUUCAGCAUCUGUACUUCUAACUACUGUGACAGACUAUGUGCCAGGAGCUUUGGUAAAAUGAAGCUUUUGUGCCAUACUUCCAAGUAGAAGAAACUCACCAGAAUUAGAGAAUUUCGGGGGGGUAAAAGCAGACCCCUCCCAAAGGUCAUUUAAUCUAACCAUUCUGCCGAUGAUCGUGCUCUCAAGGAGUCUGCAGGCUGCCAUGGAGAUGGGGAGAAAUAACAAUGCAGUGGAAUCUCUGUAAUGAGCUGUUCAGGGACAGAAACAGUGCCCUCCUUAUAGGUUAAACAUGUUAUAUCAGGCUUUUAUUAUAUUUACUGCUGGGUCUUAGGAUCUGGGAUUUGGCCUAUGUUAUUUCCAAAUCCUUAUAUACUGAGCUGUGCUACGGCAGGUUUCUACCAUUAUAGCUAUAAAUACAAUACACACAAACACACAAAGGUAUGCACCGAAGUAUAAAAUUACGAGGGAAAUGGGAAGGAUAAAAAAAUGAAUUGUUAGGUUUGAGGGAUUAUUACUGGUGGCACUGGUCUGGCUAGAUCUUGAUAGGAAAUGAGAGUAGUGUGGAAAGAUUUCAGGGGCAUCAUGCAAGUUGAAUACAGAUUUGUGAGGGUCAAAUGAUGUAGACAGAUUUCAGAUGGUGCAAUGACAUGCAUAAAUUAUUUCAUAGAAAAAGGGUGUCUGUGUACUUAGUGCUUCCAAAUAUGUUGACAGAAUAAAUGUAGGGGCUAAGAAUCUGAGAGCUAUAUCAGAGAUGCUGUCAUAAAUAUCAUUUCCCCAAGUUUUGGAAGGCAGAAAUAGUACAUUAUUUGUAUUUGUGUUCUUCAUGUCUCGCAUGUAAUAGUUUGAGUAUCACUUGUUGAAUUUAUGUGUACAAAAUGUUAUGUAAGCAGAGGGGAGAAUAUGUCAGGAAGUUAAAUGAAGUGUCAUCCAAUAGGUAACAUUUGAGUAUGAUAAAGGGGUAUGUAGAUAAGGGAUAUUGUUGGUGGGGUGUGUGUGUGGAAGUAGGUGGAGAGUAUGUUUCAUUCCCAUUCCUGUUUUCUUUCAUGGGAAAGAAAACCACAAGCAUAACACCCCCCUCAGUUUCUCCCAGUUUUUCCCUCAGUCAUCUGCCUUCCAGAAAGAUGGAGUGAGGUACCUACUUGUUGACUCUGGGAUAAGGAACUGGUGGUUGCAUGUAGCUCAAGUAUUUCCUCCUUUCUCCUCUUUUGAGUAAGCCCCUUUUCUUUCUCAAAAUUUAAUAACGAAGGGCGCCUGGGUGGCUCAGUUGGUUGAGCGUCUGCCUUCAGCUCAGGUCAUGAUCCCAGGGUCCUGGGAUUGAGCCCCGCCUCGGGCUCCCUGCUCCUUGGGAGCUUGCUUCUCCCUCUGCCCCGACCCCCUGCUGUGCUCUCACUCUCUCUCAUGCUCUCUCUCAAAUAAACAAAUAAAAUCUUUGAAAAAAAAUUUAAUAAGGGAGCAGGGAGACUCUGUUGGAGGCCCAUAGUUGCCCAGCACUGUCUGCAUCUGGGUGGGUCUAUCUGUGAAGUUCCGGGAGUAGACUAUCAAGAAGCCCAUUGCUGCCAUAUAGUAAGCUAACUCUAUUCUUCAAAAUCAGCCCUAUUGGUAAUGAAAGUGAUACUUGGUUCUCUCUGUUUUUACUUUUUUGUUUUAUUUCUUAGUUUAUUCAGAGCUUGGAGAGGGUUAUAAUUUAUUGAAUUCCCUCUAAUCUCAAUAUAGCCACCAGGGACAGGAAUUCCUGGAAUCAAGAAUAGUAUUUAUAAAAACAUAUAGAACUGAAAAUGCAUAAUGUGUUUGGGAAGGAGUCAGACUUCUGUAUGGCUGUAAGAAUGAGCAUGAUAGAAUAAUCAAUGGAAGUUUAGGGUUGAAUCAAGAAAGGACUCAUGGCAUGCUAAAGAGUUAGACUUGAUCCUUUGGACUUUAUGGUUCUCUAAGUACUGUCUGCAGACCCCUGAGGUCUCCAAGAACCUUUGAGGGAGUCCAUGAGGCCAAAACUACAUUCAUAAUAAUACUAAGACAUUGUUUACUUUUUUCAUUCUCCUCUCCUGUGGGUACAGGAAAGUUUUCCAAAGGCUAUAUGAUGUGCAAUAUUGCAACAAAUUGAAUGCCAAAACAGAUAUGAGACUUCUGUUUCUACUAUAAUAAAAUAUCUUUUAAGCCAGAAUUAAAGAGAUUUGCAAAAUGUAAAGCAAUGCCAUAUAUCUCACUAGUGUUUUUUUUUUUUUUUUUUUGGAAAAUAGUUAUCUCUCAUAAACAUGGUAUUUGUGUUAACACAUAUGGGUUUAUUUUUUAAUGAAUUAAAUAAAAAAUUCAAAUUUUGUUUAUAUCAACUUACAGUAAUAUAUUUAUAAUACAGGAAAUAUUAAUAAGUAUAAUUCAUGUAAAUAAAAGCUCUUUGGGGCCCUUAAUAAUUUUUAAAACCAUGAAGAGGUCCUGCUACCAAAAUGUUUGAGAAUGGACAAUGGAGAAACUCUGGAGGUUUUAAAAUAGAAGAGCAACACGAUCUGUUUCAUAUUAGACAUUGAAUUCUUCAAAAGUUACAAAGGAUGUCUAUGCCCAGUGUUGGUAAAGAUGUAGGAAAUGAGCAUUCUUAUGUUCCAUUGGUAGGAAUAUGAAUCAGUACAGCCUUCAAAUGGGUAGUUUGGGCAAUAUGUACCAAACAAGUGUAAAUGAACAUGCAUAUUCUUUGACUUAGAAAUUCCACUUUUAGGGAUUUAUCCUAAGGAAAUAACUGACCAAAUGUUAAAGAUAGAAACACCAUAUAUUAAUAUUAUUGUAGUAUUAUUUAUAAUGACUAAAAAAUUAAAGAAACAACCUAGAUGCUCAUGUUUUAGGUUCUGCCAGUUUUGGAAAUCAACCCACUGCAUGGGCCAGACUGUCUUGAUUCCUUCUUUUAAUUAUAAUGAGAUGGAGCCUCGCAUUUCAAGAGGCAGAGGCUUAUGAAAGGUUUGCAUGUGCCCUUUAUCCUCUGUCAAACUCAGUGCCCAAAUAAUGUUCCAAACCCAACUGCACUGCUUUCAGCCAUCUGCCUCAAGUUGAGAGACUUAGAAGUCCAAAGUGUCCCAACACUCAGGGCUGGCACUGUCCCCCCAGGGCCUGCAAGACAGCAGGGAUAGAAAUAGUACAUUGAUUGGGGCACCUGGGUGGCUCAGUCAUUAAGCGUCUGCCUUUGGCUCAGGUCAUGAUCCCAGGGUCCUGGGAUCGAGCCCCGCAUCUGGCUCCCUGCUCAGUGGGGAGCCUGCUUCUCCUUCUCCCACUUCUCCUGCUUAUGUUCCCUCUCUCGCUCUGUCUCUCUCUGUCAAAUAAAUAAAAAAAAUUGUAAAAAAAAGAAAAGAAAUAGUACACAGUUCUACAUCCACAGAUUUGACUGGGCUACCUUUCCUAGGGUAAAACUGUAAGCCCACAAUAAAAUUCUUUUACAUCUUCCUGUUGCCCUAUGUAGGAUGUAAAAAUAUGAGUUUUUCACAAAAUACUUCAUUUUUUUUUUUAAAAAGGAACACAGUUCAUAAACUACACAAGCUCUAAUCAAAGGAUUCAGUGAAGUGACUUGUUUUACAACAGUGCAAAUACACAGAUUUCUUAGUGUGAGAGCACACUGACUCUUGACAAUAUUAGAUUUGUUCCCACAAGAAGAAAAGGAAACAUUCAUGGUUGGCACCAGAAUUUUCAAGCCCAUUUAGUAUUUCCUUAGGAAAUCCCAGCAGUAAUCCACCAAUAUGGAAUUGGUAAAAUUCUGGUAUGGAAAGACUAUUAGUAACCUCAAGAAUGAAGAAAUAUGUACUCCUUUUUUUUUUUUUUUUAAAGAUUUAUUUAUUUGAGAGAGAGUGAGAGAGCAAAGACAUGCGAGUGGGGGGAGUGUCAAAUGGAGAGAAUCUCAAGCAGACUCCUGCUGAGCUCAGAGCCCGUCGUAGUGCUCGAUCCCAUUACCCAUGAGUUCAUGACCGGAGCUGAAACCAAGAGUUGGAGCCUCAACCGGCUGAGCCACCCAGGCACCCCAAUAAAGAUGUUCUUCUUAUCUUUGUGCCUCUAUAGGAUACUAUUGGUAUAUUAUCUGAAGACCUGGAUGACGAGAAGGAGAUGGCCUGGGAAGAUCCACAGGAAAAAGAUGGGACAAGAUGGCUAGAGUGACUGGAUUUGGGUAUUUCCCUUCCUCAGGUCAGUUACACUUUGAUAAUACCUGACUAGGUUAGAAUCUGGUUAAUUCUUUCCCCUGAGGGUCGGUCUUAUUAAAAGGAGAAUCCUCUGAGGUAUUUCAAAAUCAUUCCUUUCCCUCCCCCUACGGAAGCCCAAGGGGAUUUUUCUCCUAUACUUACUGUGGGAAGCUGGUUGUGCUCCUCAGGGGUAAAUCUCACAAUAUAGUCAGGACUCCCCUAUGACUGGGUCCCUUUGGAAUUUUUAACGUAGUCAGACUUGUCUGCACUGAGCCUCUGGCAAUUCAUCAGUUACAGUUCGUAUUUUCCUACCCUGGCACUGGUUCGUGUAGUGGUUUCUGCUUGUGAGUCUCUGCUCUCCUAAACUACAACUCUUUGCAUUUGCUUGUCUGUCUCUCCAAUCUUGGAGGUGGUGAUUUGCCCUGGGUCCUCCUUUCUCUUGCAGAUCCAAGAAGAGUUGUUGAUUUUUCAGUCUCUUCAGCUUCUUCCUUGUUCUUAAGGUGGAGUGUCAACAUCCAAGUUCUUAUAUGGUGGAACCAGAAACCAGAAGUGUAAAUGAUUUAAAAAAAAUAAGAAUGACUGCAUUAAAAUUUAUGUUUAAAAUCUCCGUUAAUAGAUUUAAAAAUAGGUGAAGAAAUCUAUAUAGGUCUGUAAUCUAUUUAACCAUUUUUUACCAAUGUCAGUUUCUUGGUUUUGAUAAUACACUACAGUUAAUGUAAAGACAUUACCGAUGCAGGAAACUUGGUACACAGAAACUCUGUAGUGUAUUUUGCAACUUCCUGUGAAUCUAUAACUAUUUGAAAAUGAAGUUCUUUUUAAAUUAAAUGAAGUUAGCACAAGAAGAGAAAAAAUUCAAAGCCUUGAUAUAUAAAAAGCUUACCAAUGAAAAAUACAUCCUAGUAGAAAAGUGGACAAAAGUCAUAAAUAGGUAUUUUGCAAAACAUAGGUAGCUAAAUUUAUGAAAAGUUGUCCAAACUCACUAAUAGUCAAGAAACCACAAAUAGAAGACUUACCACUUUCUAUUUAUCAGCUUAGUAAUGUUAACAAUGGACAUAAUAAUACCAAAUGUGGCCAAGUGUAUGAGUAGUUGGGCACUUCAUCUAAUGCUAGUAGAAAAAUAAGUUGGCACAAUUUUGUAGGAAGCCAAUUUGAUAACACAUAAAGUCACAAAAAGUUGCAAAUUAACAUACAGGGAUUUAUUUUAGGAAAUAAGGAUGUGUACAAAAACAUCUAUAAGAAUGUCCCUUGGGGCACCUGGGUGGCUCAGUUGGUUGAGUGUCUGGCUUUUGAUUUUGGCUCAGGCCGUGAUCCUGGGGUCCUGGAAUCAUCCCCCAGUGCGGAGUCUGCUCAGUGCGGAGUCUGCUUGAGAGUCUCCCUCUCCCUCUGCCCCUUCCCCAGUUCUCAUGCUCUCUCUCUCUCAAAUGAAUAAAUAUAUUAAAAAAUGAAUGAAUAAAUAAGUAAAUAAAUAAAUAAAAUGAAUAAAUAAAUCUUAAAAAAAUGUUCCAUAAGCAUUAUUUAUAAUAAGAAAUCUUUUUUUUAAAAGAUUUUAUUUAUUUAUUUGAGAGAGAGAAUGAGAGAGAGAGAGCAUGAGAAGGGGGAGGGUCAGAGGGAGAAGCAGACCCCCCGCUGAGCAGGGAGCCGGAUGCAGGACUCUCCCGGGACUCCAGGAUCAUGACCUGAGCCGAAGGCAGUCGCUUAACCAACUGAGCCACCCAGGCGCCCUAUAAUAAGAAAUCUUAAGGAACAGUAACAAGAAAAUGAUUAAAUAAAUACAAGCGUUAUCAUCAUUGUAGAAGAAUUUUAAAUGGGGGACGCCUGGGUGGCUCACUUGGUUAAGCAUCUCCCUUCGGCUCAGGUCAUGAUCUCAGGGUCCUGGGAUCAAGUCCCGCAUCGGGCUCCUUGCUCAGCAGGAAGCCUGCUUCUCCCUCUGCCUGCCGCUCCCCUGCUUGUGCUUUCUCUCUCUCUCUCUGACAAAUAAAUAAAAUCUUUAAAAAAAAAAAAAAGAAAGAAUUUUAAAUGGUGUGGAAAAAUGAUGUCUGCUACAAAAAAUCAAAUUUAAAAAAAUAUGAGAAGAGAGUUUCCAAAGGCUCUCCUCAUGCCUCAGUUAGGUCACUACACAACACCUCUUUCCCAACUGCACUUACUAUCUUGACUUCUAAUAGUAUAUCUUAGUUUUGCUAAACUUUAAAUGCAUUCAAACAGUAUAUAUAUAUAUAUGUAUAUAUAUAUAUAUAUAUAUAUAAACUAUAUAUGGUUUUUAUCAUUCAACUUUAUAGUUUUGCAUUUUUUCCAUGUUGCAUGAAAAAAUAAUACAUUAAUCUUUAUAGCUCUUUUCAAUUGUAUGCAUAUAAUAAAAUGUAUUAUCCAUAUAAUUGUACUAUUAUUAGUUUGGUACUACUAAUAGUGUAAGAAAAUGAAAGUAUAUAUAAAGUAUGAUGUCAAUUAUAUUUGCAAAGGUUAUACAUAGAGAGAAAAACAUGGAAUAACAAAUAGCAGUAAUUGGAUAUCCUGGGGUAGUAGAAUCAUGUAUGAUUUAUUUUCUUCCUUGCAGUUGUGUAAGUUGUAUUUUAAAAUAUUGAUCAUUUAUUCUUUUUAAGAUUUUAAGCAAUGUCUACACCCAAAGUGGGACUUGAACUCACAACCCGGAGAGCAAGAGUCACAUGCUCUACCGACUGAACCAGCUAGGUGCCGCAAUCAUGUAUAACUUUUAUAAAAUCAAACAGACUUAAACAAAAUUUGUCAUCCAAAUUUAUUAAACUCCAAUUAGUCUAGGUGAUACAGGAACAAUACUCUUUUAUAUUUUUAAAGCUUAUAAUCUCAAAGAUCAGCUAAUAUAAGAUGGUAGGAACACCUAAACAUGUGUAAGUCAAGUAAAGCUCUAUAGCAGAGCCAAGAGGAAAUCUGUAAAGAAAAGAACGUGAAGUUGGCAGUUAGUCAGAUCUGGACUUAAGUCCUACCUUUAAUGAUUUAAAAAAAAACCCAAAAAACAAAAAGUUCAGUUUUCCCAGCUAAGAAUGGGGAUAAUAAUAUUACAUCAUCUGAGCUAUAAUGAGAAGUAAAUGACAUAGAUACAUAGAUGCCUAAUAUACAGAAUAUGUUCAAUAAUUGUAAGUUUCCUUUUCCAAAGAGAGUUGUGGUAAUAAAAGAAGUAGGUUUUGGAAAGUUUGGAAAGAGAAAGAUAAAAACACAAUGAAGAGGUAAGAGGUCCUAGGUUAUUC